CACGAACGCUGGCGGCAGGCUUAACACAUGCAAGUCGAGCGCCCCGCAAGGGGAGCGGCAGACGGGUGAGUAACGCGUGUGAAUCUACCCAUCUCUACGGAAUAACGCAUGGAAACGUGUGCUAAUACCGUAUACGUCCUUCGGGAGAAAGAUUUAUCGGAGAUGGAUGAGCCCGCGUUGGAUUAGCUAGUUGGUGGGGUAAAGGCCAACCAAGGCGACGAUCCAUAGCUGGUCUGGGAGGAUGAUCAGCCACACUGGGACUGGGACACGGCCCAGACUCCUACGGGGGGCAGCAGUGGGGAAUAUUGGACAAUGGGCGGAAGCCUGAUCCAGCCAUGCCGCGUGAGUGAUGAAGGCCCUAGGGUUGUAAAGCUCUUUCACCGGUGAAGAUAAUGACGGUAACCGGAGAAGAAGCCCCGGCUAACUUCGUGCCAGCAGCCGCAGUAAAAC
rnacentral:rRNA from 1 species